ACUCACUCACUCACUCACUCACUCACUCACUCAGAUCAAGUUCAUGCCACCAGUGACAUUAUUGAAGUUUGACGAGUGUCAACACCCCCCGAAAUUGACGUUCAACAAAUUAUGGAGGGUCAAAACUAUAUUUUCCUGAACAUGCCUUGCAAUUACAAGGACAGAAGGCUGGUAGACCAUCGGCAGCUUACGAUGCACCAGAAAGGGUUAAUCCUGGAGGUAGUGACAUGUUAGGGCUGUGUGAUCCUGGCCGGAGUCUGUAUGUUUGUGAGGAAUGUGGCAAGAGUUUCACUGAUCCUGGCACCAAGAAGGCCCAUAGGGAGGCCAUCCAUGACAAAAUAACCUACCUGUGUCCGUGUGGGAAGGUGUACAAAUACCGACGGGGAUUCCGUCAACACAGACACAUCUGUCAAAUUGCUCAGCGUGCAGAGCCUUACAAGCUGUUUGGGGACACUAUUCAGCACAACUAGAAACAAAAAUGAUUUCAAAGAAUUUCAGUUUUAUUAUGACUAGUGAAUAUUAGAAGAACUUAUUAAGACGUUCUGAUUUUGAAAAUGACAGGCAUUUUGUUAGGAUAUGUAAAGAAUUUAUGAAGAAUUUCACAUUUUCCAAAUGGCAGGUGCUUUGUUAGAAUAUGCAAUUGAUUUAUGAAGAAUUUCAGAUUUUCAAAUGAUAUGUGCUUUGUUAGGCUUUGCAAGAGGUUUCUGUAGAAUUUAACAUUUUUAAAAUGACAGGUUCUGUGUUGGAACAUGUAAGGACUUGAAGAAGAAUUUGAUAUUUUCAAAAAAGACUUUGGUAUGUUAGAAACUUUGCUGCAGUUUAAAGAAGUUAGUUUUCAAUUUAACACAUGAAAGUUAGAAAACUCAAGCUGAAAAAUAU